GACGGCAGGCAGGGUCAGGGUCAGGUCAGGCAGAGGUUGGUAAUCCAGAGUAGUGGGACAAAGGUACAGGAUGGCAGGCAGGGUCAGGGUCAGGUCAGGCAGAGGUUGGUAAUCCAGAAUAGUGGGACAAAGGUACAGGACGGCAGGCAGG